rnacentral:tRNA from 1 species
GUGACCAUAGCUCAGUUGGUUAGAGCACCUGGUUGUGGUCCAGGGGGUCGGGGGUUCGAAUCCCCUUGGUCACC